UCUUGUUUCUGCUGCAGUGCUCCACUAAACUUUCCUUUCUUUUCCACUUGCUUCCCCGUGUCAUUCCUUAAUGGCUGCAGACAUCAGAAGCAAGAUCAGAGGUGGAGGAAGAUAAAAACUUGCUCACAUGGCAAAAAAGUCUAGAAUCCUCCUCACAAUUUGACUGCAUGGACUGGGCCAGAGGAACAGAGGAAAAAAAAGCACUCAUCAAAUCAGCUACACUGCCUGCCUCACAAAAAUUGAGAGGUGAAACUUUCAGCUGAAGGUGACUUAAGAAGCCAAGCAGAACAAAAUUCAGAGUCCACAUGCUGCAAGAGCUAGAAAGCAAGUGGUGUGGCUUAGAACCAUGUUACUCUCACCAAGCCACAUCAUCUGAGAAAGAAGCAGAUCAGGAGCUUGGUCAUACAACAGCAAUCUGCCUCUGGUGACCAGUCUGGGUCCACCCAGAGUUCUCACCAGUGCACAAGUAAGUGAAUUUGCAACCUACUUUUUAUUUGUUCAACAAUUUUUCUAUUACUCCAAACACAUAAAUCUGCUCCUAAGCAUGAUAAUCCGACCUUCUCUAGUACAGGCAAUUUCUGAAGCACACAGACCAGCUUUUACUAAAGUCAUCCACAUUUUC